ensembl:antisense uncharacterized LOC110309120
AAGAUGCCAGGGUCGACUCUUUGCCAGUGCAGUAGAUAUUGUCCAACCAGAUGGGGCCUGCACAGCACGGAAAAUAGAAAGUAAGCAUCCUGUUGAUGCAGAUCCAGGUGGCAGGGGCCCCAAUGCCUCGCAUGGAAUUCCCCUGAAUUUUGACAGGGUCACUGUUCAGCUUCCCUGAACCUGAAGUUCAUCAAUUCAGCCAGGAUGGUUGGUCCAACAGCUUUGUGGAUGGGGCUGUCUUCUCUCCCCCAUGCACAGCCCUAUAGAAGAGCAGACCUACAAACCUAUACUUGAGUUCUAUCUGCCACAGGCUUGGGUGAUCUGUAACUCAGUCAACUACUGACACAAACCUUGUCCUCAUUUCCAAAGUCAAAGUGAUGUCCAAGCAGACAGACUGCCACAAAGACUCAACAAGGAACCCCUCUCCCAUGAAAGAAGUGUGUAGGCAAAUUAGCAGAUGCUCUGGAAGAGCAUGCAUGAACCUGGGCUGGAAGCUCAGCCCUUGGUCUGACCAGGGCAAUGAAGUUAUCCCAACAUGCAGGGUCCUUGGCCUUGCCAGUGUCAGCACAACUGGGUGGAGGGUCCCCAUCCUGUUU